GUGCUCACUUCAGCAGCACAUACACUAAAAUUGGAACAAUACAGAGAAGAUUAGCACGGCUCCUGCAGAAGGAUGACACGCAAAUUCAUGAAGCAUUCCAUAUUUUU
ensembl:snRNA U6 U6 spliceosomal RNA